rnacentral:rRNA from 1 species
GAUGAACGCUGACAGAAUGCUUAACACAUGCAAGUCGAUGGGGAAGUGGUGCUUGCACCAUGGUAACCAUGGCGGACGGGUGAGUAACGCGUAAGGAACUUGCCUGCGGGACUGGGAUAACAGCAGGAAACUGCUGAUAAUACCGGAUAAGGUCAUUAAGCUGCAUAGCUUAGUGAUGAAAGGAGACGCCUGCGGAGAGCCUUGCGUCCUAUUAGCUAGUUGGAGGGGUAACGGCCCACCAAGGCGAAGAUAGGUAGCCGGCCUGAGAGGGUGGACGGCCACAAGGGGACUGAGAUACGGCCCUUACUCCUACGGGAGGCAGCAGUGGGGAAUAUUGGACAAUGGGGGCAACCCUGAUCCAGCAAUUCUGUGUGCACGAAGACGGUUUUCGGAUUGUAAAGUGCUUUCAGCGGGGAAGAAGGAAGUGACGGUACCUGCAGAAGAAGCGACGGCUAAAUACGUG